rnacentral:ribozyme from 14 species
UGAACAAAUGAAUGAAUAAAAAAAGAAGGAAUCCAAUGGAUGAAUGGAACUGAUAGAUCAAAUUGUCGUUUGUUGUUUUUGCUUCUGCUUUUUUGGCAAUCGUAGUUGUCCAUUUCCUUUUCCUUCUCCUC